GGAGAUGUUGCUCAGCAGUAGAGUGCUCGCCUAGUAUGUGUGAGGCCCUGGGUUCAAUUCUCAGCAAUUCUU
rfam:Fukomys damarensis contig137571, whole genome shotgun sequence.